UCUACGGGAGGCAGCAGUGGGGAAUAUUGCACAAUGGGCGCAAGCCUGAUGCAGCCAUGCCGCGUGUAUGAAGAAGGCCUUCGGGUUGUAAAGUACUUUCAGCGGGGAGGAAGGCGAUAAGGUUAAUAACCUUGUCGAUUGACGUUACCCGCAGAAGAAGCACCGGCUAACUCCGUGCCAGCAGCCGCGGUAAUA
rnacentral:rRNA from 2 species